rnacentral:rRNA from 1 species
GAUGAACGCUGGCGGCGUGCCUAAUACAUGCAAGUCGAGCGAACGGACGAGAAGCUUGCUUCUCUGAUGUUAGCGGCGGACGGGUGAGUAACACGUGGAUAACCUACCUAUAAGACUGGGAUAACUUCGGGAAACCGGAGCUAAUCCCGGAUAAUAUUUUGAACCGCAUGGUUCAAAAGUGAAAGACGGUCUUGCUGUCACUUAUCGAUGGAUCCGCGCUGCAUUAGCUAGUUGGUAAGGUAACGGCUUACCAAGGCAACGAUGCAUAGCCGACCUGAGAGGGUGAUCGGCCACACUGGAACUGAGACACGGUCCAGACUCCUACGGGAGGCAGCAGUAGGGAAUCUUCCGCAAUGGGCGAAAGCCUGACGGAGCAACGCCGCGUGAGUGAUGAAGGUCUUCGGAUCGUAAAACUCUGUUAUUAGGGAAGAACAUAUGUGUAAGUAACUGUGCACAUCUUGACGGUACCUAAUCAGAAAGCCACGGCUAACUACGUG